GCCGAGUGUGGUGGCGCGCGCCUGUAAUCCCAACUACUUGGGAGGCUGAGGCAGGAGAAUCACUUGAACCCAGGAGUCGGAGGUUGCGGUGAACCAAGAUCACACCACUGAACUACAGCCUGGAUGACAAAGUGAGACUCUGUCUCAA
rnacentral:SRP_RNA from 1 species